UACGUAGGGUGCAAGCGUUGUCCGGAAUUAUUGGGCGUAAAGAGCUCGUAGGCGGUUUGUCGCGUCUGCUGUGAAAACGCGAGGCUCAACCUCGCGCCUGCAGUGGGUACGGGCAGACUAGAGUGCGGUAGGGGAGAUUGGAAUUCCUGGUGUAGCGGUGGAAUGCGCAGAUAUCAGGAGGAACACCAAUAGCGAAGGCAGCUCGCUGGGACGUUACUGACACUGAGGCGCGAAAGCGUGGGGAGCGAACAGG
rnacentral:rRNA from 1 species